rnacentral:lncRNA from 1 species
GUGUGUGUGUGCGCGCGCGCGCGCGCGCGUGCGCGAGUGCACAUGCACGUGUUGUGUUGUGUUUCCUCCAUAAGAAAUUCUUUUCCUGGAUUUGUGAUCCCUGUGGAACAUUAAGAACCUCUCCGAUUGAAUCUCAGGGAGGAACCGGAGGUAUGAAUGACAACUGUUUGAGAAGAAGGUCCCAAAUCCCUCUCUUAAAACCUUGGGAUUGUGCUUGAGACUCAGCCCCGAUGUGUUCCGUGGUGAGUCACUCACCUGGUUUACCCACACUGUAUGCUCCCCCUACCUGCCCCUACCUUGUCAUAAGUGCUGAGGAUUGAACCCAUGGCCUCGUUGCAUGUCAGGGCUCCAGUGCAGAUUUAGAUCCACCUUCUGGAUGCUUUGGUCCCUGGAACAAGGCAGCAGGCUCUUGCUAUCAAGAACCUGUCCCUGAGAAGGGAUGCUGUGUAACCAACCAGCCACCUCGUGCUUCUGCCACUGUUGCUUCCCCACUGUGAUAGACUGUGCACACUCAAACUGCAAGCCAAAAUAAACCCCACCCUCCUUAGUUGCUUUUCCCAGGAAUUUUGUCACAGCAGUGCUAACAUAAGCCAAGCUUGGGGUUAGGGUCAUUAACCCUAAGAGGGAAAAAAAUGUCUGUUCAAAGAAAGAGUUAUAAACAAAUAAUAGACAUUAAUAGAGUGGCUUUAAGGUAAUUUGUGUCUGUAAAGAAUAAUUCUUUCCUAAAUCUCUGCCUUAGCUUCCCUGUAUACUACCUGUAUAUGCAUGAGUACUCAGAGUUCGUUUUGAUUGGGCAAUCCUUUACAGAAAGAGAUUAUGAAUUCAGUUUGA